GCUUUGGUAGCUCAGUGGAAGAGACGUCGUCCGGUGAGCGAAAGGUCCCGGGUUCGAUUCCUGGCCCCAGCA
rnacentral:tRNA from 1 species